UUUUGUUUUUGAUUUUAAAUAAAAGCAAAGGUUGAGUCUACCGUUGCGCAAAGUCUACGUUCAGUUACGCGUUCUGAUUCGUCGACUGACCGUAGACUCCUCCAAUUAAAUCGCUCCGUUUGACUGUAAACUACCAAUUGAAAACGUGGGAUUCUUGACCGCAGCUACCAAUCACACGCCGACAUUCAAAGCUGUACCUGCCGCUGCGGUCAACGCGGUCAACGGAGGUCUCCGGUGAUAGUAGCCUACAGUAUUUCUGUGUAUUUCAGUAUCUAUAAGUGAAGAUGGCAACCCCAUUAAUCCGCAUCGUCAACCCAGAGGCCCCUGCACACCGUCAACAGACAGGCCAUACUGAUGGCGACUAAAGAGGCCCGUUGCUGUCGGGAGAAAAAGAUGGUCUUCCCUAAACCUCCACAGGAGCUGCUCUUCCAGGACAGCGCCCUGACACACGCGGAGAAGCUCCUUUGAGUAGAGGGCAUCCCUGCACCGUCGUGUCAGCUGUGCCUGGGAAAGCUGCUAGUCCCUUUUGACCAGUGUGAUAAUGCACCCUUCCACUGGCUUGUCGCAGAUGAUGUGGGUGAAGUACAUGCUUGACAAGCACCAGUCAGAGGUCCAAACCCACAUCGGAAGGGAGAGGUGGGGAACCGGUGGGUGAAAGACCUCCUCGCUGAAUACGCUGGGAGCUUCCCACAAAUCUCCCGUCACCUCGAAGCCAACAGAAUGUGCACCUGUACAAGUCUGGCUACCACACCUGGGUACACCACAUCUGCGACGUUUCCAGCUGGUACACCAUGCUGGCAGAGGUCCUGUGCUGCGGGCCGUGUACCAAGGCAGGCAGGAGUAAGGAAGGUGUGACAGUGGGUCGCUGCGUGGGAUUCCGCUAUUUUAUCACAACUUAGCGAGGCUCACCAAGCUAUGUUCCCUGCCAUCCUCACCAGCAAGUGAGUACACAAACAUGAAGAUGAAGGGCUCUCACCCUUCCAUGCUUGCUGCCGCCUUGGAGUAGAAGGCUACUUGUCUUCAGAGAAUGAAGAGGAAGAGCUCUCGCCCUUUCGCCUGCGCGCCUUCAUUAUGGUAGAAGGGUUGAUGCCUCCACUAGACUAAGGUCUCUCACCCCUUCGUUCUUGCUGCCUGGUGAUAGAGGACUGGUUUUCUGCACAAGACAAAGGGCCCUCACCCCUUGGUGUCUCCACUAGACGAAGGUCUCUCACCCCUUCGUCCGUGCUCCCACAAGAUGGUGGGAGGGUUGAGGUCUUCAGGAGACAAAGGUCUCUCACUCCUUCGUUUGGACUUCUUCGAUUAAGAGUCCAUAUCUCCUGAAAGACCGUGGUCUUGCAAAGAAUUUUAGUCCAAAACUGGAUCUAAACAUCUUCUCGAUUAUCUCUUGUUUGUAUACUGCCGUUUUGAAACUGCAAGUGCAAACACACAAACACACACAGCAAUACUUCAGAAGAUGAAGAGGAAGAGCUCUCAAUCCUGUUUUCUUGCUGCCUCCUCGUGGUAGAAGGCUGGUCAUCUUCAGAAGAUGAAGAUGAAGGGCUCUCACCCCUCCAUGCUUGCUGCCGCCUUGGAGUAGAAGGCUGCUUGUCUUCAGAGGAUGAAGAGGACGGGCUCUCUCCCCUUCGUACUUGCUGCCUGGUGGUAGAGGGCAUGUUUUCUGCACAAGACAAAGAGCUCUCUCCCCUUUGCCUGCUCUCCUUCAUGUCGGUAGAAGGGUUGGUGCCCACGAUGAACAAUGAGCUCACAUCCCUCCAUGCUUGCUGCCUGGUGAUAGAGGACUGGUUUUCUGCACAAGACAAAGGGCCCUCACCCCUUUCUCUGUGCUCUUUCACGAUGUUAGAAGGGUUGGUGUCUCCACUAGAUGAAGGUCUCUCACCCCUUCGUCCGUGCUCCCUCAAGAUGGUGGGAGGGUUGAGGUCUUCAGGAGACAAAGGUCUCUCACUCCUUCGUUUGGACUUCUUCGAAGAAGAGUCCAUACCUCCUGAAGACCGUGGUCUCGUAAAGACCUUUUGUCCAAAAAUGGAUCUAAACAUUUUCUCAAUGAUUUUUCCUUGUAUACUGGCGUUGUGAAACUGCAAGUACAA